rnacentral:rRNA from 1 species
GACGAACCGUGCGAACGUUAUUCGGAAUCACUGGGCUUAAAGCGCGUGUAGGCGGGGUGGCACGUCGGUCGCUGAAAGCCCCCGGCUCAACCGGGGAAGGGGCGCCGAUACGACCACCCUGGAGGGACGUAGGGGGACCUGGAACUUCCGGUGGAGCGGUGAAAUGCGUUGAGAUCGGAAGGAACGCCCGUGGCGAAAGCGAGGUCCUGGACGUUUACUGACGCUGAGACGCGAAAGCCAGGGGGAGCGAACGGG